UCCACGAAAACUAUGAUCAUUAAAUUAAAAUACCCAAAAAGAGAAAAAAGGAACAAUGCGGCCCAAGGUUAAACUUUUUUUUAUCAUUAUUACAUUUAAUUUUAACUUUUAUAUAUAAUAUUGUAAUCUAUCUGAUCGUAUUACCCAUACUUUUAAAUUUUAUUAUUUUACUAUUUAUGUCUUUUUAUCAUUAUUACAUUUAAUUUUAACUUUUAUACAUAUUAUCUGAUCUUAUUACCCUUAAUUUUAAGUUUUAUUAGUUCACUAUUUAUAUCUUUUUUUAUCAUUAUUAUUUUAAAUAGCAACUUUUAUAUAAAUAUUUUAAUUUAAUUUUAUAUUUUAUUAUUUUAUUUUAUAUAGUAAUUUUUACUUUAUGUUAUAUUUUAUAAUUUUAUAUUCUCUUUUUAUCAUUAUGAUUUUAUAUUUUAACUCUAAAUCUAAUAUGUGAAUAAAUUGAACCAAACAAUACUAAAUUACCGCAAGAGUUUUUAGAAGAUUCUGAAUCCGUCACUGUGUCCCUCAUUUUUUUUGCCAAUACCUCUUCCCUUUGUACCCUGGCUUCCCCAAUGAUGAAGAUGAUAGCUACAGAUACACGUCUCCACAUGCUCUCUGAAAUCCUCUAAUCACUGUGUCUUCAGCAAAUAUGUGAUUCUGGUGAUUGUUCAAGCUACGUCCUACUGUUCACGCAUGGGUGCUGCUGUUAAUAUCAGAUUAUAAUUAAAUUUUAGACCUUUUUUUUCAUAAUUAUUUUAAUGUCUAAUAUUUUAAGAUUUUGUCUUUUAAAUAUUUUUUUAUGCUAUUUUAACAUUUUAUCUUUUAAAUAUUUUUAAAUAAAAUUUUAACAUUUUAUAUAUUUUAAAAUUCUAUUUUAACAUUUUAUCUUUUAAAUAUUUUUUAUGCAAUUUUAAUAUUUUAUCUUUUUUAAAUAUAUUUAAAUGCAAUUUUAACAUUAUAACUUUUAAAUAAACUAAAGGUAUUCAGUCUAAGAAAUAAGUUUUGCAGUGAUAAUAGUAAAUACAUUAACAUUUAACAAUACGCAACAAUGAAGCAUCCGCAACAAACAAAUUUGCUCAUUAUCGGCCACUUACCUCCUCCCGGUUUGCUGUACUCCUCUGCAAGAUUGCUCGCACAAUAACACUGCACCACCUCCACCUCUGCACCACAUCCACCUCUUCUCGGUUCCAAGGCAUUGAUGACUCCAUUCCUCCUAAUUCCUUCUACAAUAUAUUAUCCGGUAAAAAUCAUCUUCAAAACAGAAACAAAACAAAACAAAAAAGGACCAGGAGAAAUAUUCUACAUCUGAUGUGCUGCCAUGAACAUAUAUUUAAAAGAUGUACAAGGUAUAACUUUCUUUUUACAUUUUGUUUUUUCUUAUAUGUACACAAUCAGUUUGAAAAUCUUUUUAACGCAAGUUUGCGAUACAGCAAUGCAACUGCUCAUCUUCACAGUAUAUUUGCAUAAUUGUGUUCCCAUUAAAAUACAUUUUUGUGUUUCCAAUAGAUCGUGUUGAAAUUACCUGCUUUGAAUUGUUGCUACACGUUAUAUCAUGCACAUAAAAGAUUGCCCACUAAUAACUUUGUUUUGGGACAUAGCAGUUAACAUGUAUGACAUCGUAGAAUUCGUCAUACACCUUGCAGACCGAAGAAAUACGUUGAUUCUUUUUGAGAACAUUACAUUAACAGUACCUGAAAUCUGACGGUUCAGUGAUAGUUGGUAAACUUGUGCCGAACCUUCGCCAUCAUGAUGGAAGACUGUUGUAUAAACUGCUGAAGGGUCAUAUGCAACUAAAGUUGCAACUGAAGAAGCUAUGUUGCGUAGAAAGAAAAUAGAAGUAACUACAUCGCAAUGCAGAUUGUACUAGUCUUUGACAAAAGGUGGAAGUUUCUUUCAAAGAAUAACAAGCCGCACAAGAACUUCUGCAUUCUUUCCUUUCAGGGAUGAGAAGUGAUAGAAAAGUAAUGGAUUUUAGCUGUACUGAAACAAACAGUUGUGAAUUGCAAAGCAUGCGGAUUGGUGAAAUAUACCAUGCUUGGGAUCUGGUGUGUUACCUUGAGUUAGCAUCCCUUGCCUGUUGCAAGACACCAGUUAUAUGUAUAGGCACUAUCCGCAAUAACCAAUAAUUUUUGUUCAACGUAUACAAUAAUUCAAAUGUUAUAUUUAAUGAAUUUCUUUCUGGAGCUUUUCCGUUAUUACCAUCCUCGAUUGUGGACACAAAUCUCACCAUAAAUGAUGUUAUUGCACUUCAUCAUGUGUUGUACAUUACGUAAAAGGCUCUUGCUUUAGUUUUAUCUCAUAAAAUAACAUUCUAUGAGUUGCUAUUGUUGUGGUUAAACAUUCACAUUCAAAAUGCACAGAUUAAAUCGAUGCCUUACUGCACCAUUCCACAUGAAAUUCAAUUGACAAUUUAUUGGAUUCUAUAGUGAAGCUGUGGCUAUGCUUUCAUGUUUUUGUAGUUUGUGUGAGAGCAUUGAUGUACUUGCAGUACUCCUACUUAUAACAGUAUCAAUUACCAAUUAAUUGUGGUACCAGAAAAAAAAUAGACGUCUUGGGCCACAUUUAAUGCAGUGAUCAGUACGGCACAGCUAUGUCGAAAAUGUCUCAUGUUUUAUUCAUUGUCUCUCAAAGAGGUUCUGAUGGACAUCACAGAAGUGAGAAAACAACUGCACUUUCGCAAUCUGACAGCACUGGUUAAAUGCUGUUGGUGGAAAAACAUGCCGCGUGAAUGAAAUCUCCUGCAGAGUUUGAUCAAUUACUUAGCAGUUAUAUUUAUUGCUAAGGAAAUGUAAUUAUGAUGAAAGUUGUUUGUUAUGACAACUUAUUGUAAUAUUGUUUUAUAAUAACAUAUUAAUGAAGUUGCUUUUACUGACACUGUUGCAAUAAAUUGAAAAAUAAUUAAAAGUUGUUUAUUGCCAGGAAAAUUUUUCUGGGGAUUUAAAAAAUAUGUUGUUUACCAUGUCUUUGUUAACUGUGACACCUUAUCAAUAUUGUUCUACUUUUUUCCUGUUUUGUUAAAAAUAUGCGAUAUCAUGUGCUCUGGAAAAGGUGGUAAUGCUGGAAGCGCCACAGACAACAUGCACGGCAAUACGUGAAAAAACUUUAUAAUUGUUCACAUUUCUUUCGUUACUGUAUGUUGUUAACAACAGUCAACUUUUGGUAAGCAAUAAUACGACUUUACGCUUAGCAAAGUAUAACGAGCAGGUAAAAACAGUCAGACAGUAAUUUAAAGUUUAGACCAGACUGCAUUAAAGUAAAUCUGAAACUUGUUUUCCUGUUCUAGUUUCGUCCCCUGUAAUAAUUUAAGGUAGGUGUUAUUGACGCCAAGUAUAGAGUGGCCAUACAUUCAGCAAUUGCGAUACCCAAAUGCUUUUUGUAUAACCAAAUGUUCUCCGAAAUAUCCAGAUGAUAUCUUACAUUAAAAACGUGUUUUUUUAUUAUUUUUUUCUAAUAUUUCUUAGAAACAGUAUUCAUAUAUUUGUGAUAUCGAACACAUAGCUAUAAUUACGAUUUUUAGUUAUAUAUAUUUUUAAUUGGCUCGUUUUCGUAUAUUUUAGAAUUUUUACAAUCAUAGAACCCUGAUCUUUUUGUUAUAUUUUCCAAUUUUGUUAUUUCUUGAAAUUGAUAUGUUAUAUCACAGGCUAUUUAACUGACAUUUUUAUAUGUUUACAUGUUAUUACGUAUACACGUGUGUUUUUUAUUUUAAAUUUCAAGACUUACUUUCCAUUAUAUGAAUAUUAUAAACUUAGUGUUUUGACAAUUAUUUUAGUUAUUUUAUUCCCAAAAGGUGUGUAAGGUAAUGGUCUGUGUAUCUGGCCUUGAUGUAUGACAUUUUAUAGUAUAUUUCCACGUGACGUGAAAGAGAUUUUUGUUGCUGAUUAUCGGUGAUCAUACGAUAAAACGUCCACGUGUUGAGAUUGAACCAUGCAAUUGUAAGUGAACGUUGGCUGGUAUUUAAUGCUGCUCGUGCUGUGCAAAAAUACGCUUGUCGUAAUGUCAAACAAAACUGCAUAACGAAUGUUUUCCGAAUUAAUUCUGAGUGAACGUUGGUUUGUAAGUAAUGCGGAAUUUGAUUUUGCAUGCUCGUGUAACGAUUCUAAUACGAAAACACGUAUACAGAUCGAAUGUGAGUAACAAAAUGGGAUUGGCAUGGUAAACAUGAUUUGAACGAAAUUUAUGGAUUAAGUUAUUCGCUUUACAGUAAUCCGUAAGACGACUUAGUCAGACUGAACAUUAUAACAGUAAGUUUCACUUAAAUGCGUGUCGCGUAUGGAUAGCAUGAUUAAAAGUAUCAACUCACUUAGAACUUUCUUUCUUAUUUUGAAGAUGAUCACUAUGAUAUAUUUUCUCCAGAUGCUUUGUCAAAAAAUAUUUUAACAUCUUUAGGUCGCAUUUUCAUCAGAACAUAUUACAAUCGUUUCAAAAGUUUAGUAAAACGUAAAAACGUUAGAUUUCUCCAAAAAUCUAAUGCAUCAGUAAUAUAAUAAUUCUAAGCCUUUCAACGCUAUUAUACCAGAGUUUUUUGCCCAUUGUAACCCUGGAAAAGGGGGGAGAGGGUGGGUAGGGGAUUGUGGUAUGUAUCCUUGAAGACUGAACCAUUCAUUAGCAUAUAUAAAAAAUUAUUUUAACAUCAAAACAGCGCAAAAAAUGUUUUAAGUUGACCUGCCGAAAAAAUAAUUCUAAGAAACAGGAAAGUUCAGUUUCUCCAACCAAAUAUUUUGUUCACGAUGGAUAAAUAAAACUUAAAAAAAGUCACCAAGUUUCAGAACUAUCAUCAGCUCUCUUUUUGUGACUUAUGCCUGCACAAGCAUAUAAUCAUUAAAACGGGAUAAGCACAAAGAAGAUUUUGUCGUUUUUAAAUUUGACGUCCUGUUUAACAAAUGCGUGUGAUCUGGAUCAUACAUCAUGUAAGUUGUUAAAAGCCGAAUCUUAGAAUAUCAAUUGUUUACUUUUAAUUUCUUAACCCUUAAAAUACUCUCGCGUUUAAAUGGUUUAAAUACCAAAAAACAAUUCGUAUUUAAGAAUCCCAGUUGUCAUCGGUUGCUAAGGAAAUGACAUAGAUAGUUUGAUUUCGAAAAUAUUUUAAACUACGACAUCAAUGAAACUCUCAAAAUUUGCACACCACAUCAAAUAAAAUGAUGUAAAUUUAAGUUGGAGUCAAAGAUAUUUUUCAGUUGUUUUGUUAUUUUUUAGAAAAAGUUUAUUCGAAGAUGGUUAAAUUCAUAAUUUUCAUCUAAAGAAAGAAGUCUUCCCAAAAACGUAAAAGUUGCCAUGUAGAAGUUAAAGAUGACAAAAUUAUAUGUUGUUAUAAUGGCUUCUAAACACAUUCUUUAUAACAAUUCAAUUUUUUGGCUGCUAUGGAAGACCUCAAACAAACUGUAUAAAAACGUCGUUGGGUAAUUACGAAAAAAACGUGUCACAUGGAUGUUAGAAUUAUAGCUUGUGUCAAAUUGCUUGAGAUGAAACGGAGUGACAUCUAAUGCUAGUGAGUUCGUUCUGUCAAGUGCUUACACAGAAUUUACAGUAUCAGAGAGUUUAAAAGAAUCAUUUUAACCUUUUUGGAAGCUGAAUUAUACAAGCGUCAGCUACGUAAUCCAAACAAGAAAUCGCAUGAAGAGUUGUCUAAUUCGAUUUAAUGUUGCUGGUGGUGAUGGAUACAUUGAAGAGUACAAUCUCCUUUCUCACGAUUACUUUGGUCGACUGAAUAAUUCUAUUCAGGUAACUGGUUUGAUUUCGAAAAUAUUUUAAACUACGACAUCAAUGAAACUCUCAAAAUUUGCACACCACAUCAAAUAAAAUGAUGUAAAUUUAAGUUGGAGUCAAAGAUAUUUUUCAGUUGUUUUGUUAUUUUUUAGAAAAAGUUUAUUCGAAGAUGGUUAAAUUCAUAAUUUUCAUCUAAAGAAAGAAGUCUUCCCAAAAACGUAAAAGUUGCCAUGUAGAAGUUAAAGAUGACAAAAUUAUAUGUUGUUAUAAUGGCUUCUAAACACAUUCUUUAUAACAAUUCAAUUUUUUGGCUGCUAUGGAAGACCUCAAACAAACUGUAUAAAAACGUCGUUGGGUAAUUACGAAAAAAACGUGUCACAUGGAUGUUAGAAUUAUAGCUUGUGUCAAAUUGCUUGAGAUGAAACGGAGUGACAUCUAAUGCUAGUGAGUUCGUUCUGUCAAGUGCUUACACAGAAUUUACAGUAUCAGAGAGUUUAAAAGAAUCAUUUUAACCUUUUUGGAAGCUGAAUUAUACAAGCGUCAGCUACGUAAUCCAAACAAGAAAUCGCAUGAAGAGUUGUCUAAUUCGAUUUAAUGUUGCUGGUGGUGAUGGAUACAUUGAAGAGUACAAUCUCCUUUCUCACGAUUACUUUGGUCGACUGAAUAAUUCUAUUCAGGUAACUGGCUGAUCAAAUGGUAUUAUUUUAGAAAUUGUUGAAAACAAUGCAUGAAACCAACAUAAAAUAUUUUUUGCCAAAACAUACGAAGAUCAUAGGUGUUAGCACGGUGGUUGUAGUGUUGAUACUGACACGAUGUAUGGUAUCUUUGCUCACAUGAAAAUGGACAAAUGCUAUGAGUUUUGACAGAUUUUGAAAUAUGAACGAAAUAAUUGGUUUUGACAGUAACUCUAAUGUGUAAGUGAAAAAAAAACUUGACAGCAUCUGUGUAAUUUCAUCAAUGGGCUCAACAUCACACGUCUGAGUUAAUAUCGUCCUAUACGGAAACUGCAGAAAAAUUUAGAACCUCUCACGAACUUAAACCUCACUCAAGAUGAAGAAGAUGAAUAUUAUAUUUUGCAUGAAACUUCUAUAACAAGGAACACGUACCAACUGCGCCAGGCUACCUGAAAAUUUGAUUUCAAGUUUAAAUAAAUCAAACGUAGGUAUUGGAGUUUCGACUAAAUGUGUUAGAGAAAACAAAUUUUCCUAUUAAUCGUUGUAUUUUUAUUUAUUUUAAUUUAUUUUCUCUAUUUAGUGUGUGAACAUUUCAACAUACAAACAAUUUUGCACAGUCGUUACAAUUUUUGAAGAAAACGAAUCAAUUUUGAGUUAACAGAUACUGCGUUUCUCCGUCACAAUGGCAAGAUCAAUUUCUAUGCAAGUUCGAUGAGUAUCCAGAUCAGUUAUACCGUCCUAACCAUCAUCUCAGUUCUUUGCACAAAAGUAAUUUUCUUCAAGGUCUGUGUGCUUUUGUAUACUGAAAUUUAAACUUCAAUACUUUAUGUGCGUACAAAUCUGGCGCACAAACAAAAGAUUUAGUACAAAAAUUACACACCAAGCGUUUCACUUGAAUAUUAUAACGCGUAAAAUACGUUCAUGAUACUAUUACACUAAAAGUUAUUCAGCGCGCAACAAGUGUAAUACCAAAAAGACGUUUAUAGGCAUUUCAGACCGCGAAACUUGUCUGAUAUGGCUCUUUUUAACAAAAUACUGUUUUUGCGCUUAUCUAUACAAUUUCUUAUCAAUUGCUACCACAUCCAUAAGACAAUCAUGACUGAUUGGAAUGGAGGCCUAUGGAUGUUGCGUACAGCUCAGCAUGUUUAAUCUCAAUUUGCUGCUUCUGGUAACUGCGUGUAUUUAUUUGACGUCUAUUGCUGUACAUCUGUAAGCUAAUUUAGAAACUGGGGCUCUUGUAGUCGAAAAACGCCCCUCAAUUUCACCUAUAAUCAUAGCAGCAGUAAUUUUCGCAAAACGUAACCAUCCGUGACAAUAAACUUACCUUGCCACUAAAGAAACUUAUAGAAAACAAACAACCGAUUUAAUCCCAACAAUAUCAUACCGUUCGUACAAUUAAAGCUAUAAAAACAUCACAAGUCAUGCUCAAUAUCAUAACGAACAGCAGCUGCGGUUUUUUUUUUGCCUGUUAAUUGGUUUGUUUUGUACUGUAUCUUAAGAGAUUGUUUGCGGUACAAAUGCUUAAGUCAUAGGCUGAAUUUUAUUAUCAAACGUUUUACACAUGUACGCAUAAGUAGCUUUGUAUUUUUUACUUCCCAAUCUACAUUCAGUGCGCACAACGUAAAUUUAUUCUUUCAUUGCAAGCAGCAACUUUUUUCCUUUUUUGGUCUAGUCUCUCAAUAAAAACUGAAAUAUCAUCCAGCAAACUUUCCAGACUAUUUAUGCACUUACAUAUAGCGCCAAUUCGC